UCAAGUGAUCCGCCUGUCUCAGCACCCCCAACUGCUAGGAUUAUAGGCAGGAACCACCAUGCCCAGCCAGAAUCUAACUUUUUGACAGUUCAAACAUACAGUGAAUUAUCCACAGACAUAAUCACAUAAUCAUGUAAAUGAAGCAAUGUCUCUGCUGUGUUUUAUCUGAAACGUCACCAAUGAGCUGUCACCAUUUCAGAAAGAUCAAAGCAGCAAAGUCAAUGCCACUGAGGAUGUCAGAGUCUUCAGUGAAACCUACCCACAUUAGUCUAUAUUUGGAGCUAUCACAUUACUGGCAGUUCUGUUUAUAUGUGGGUAUAUGUAAACACACUCAGGCUUCGCUCCUCCUUCACAAUGUCAAUUGUAAGUAAAAAGGCUGACCAUAUUCAGCGGAAUGUUUCACUCCUUUUAAAUGAAAACACUCACUGUGAGGAGGAACAAGGCAUCAUAGUGCCUGGUAUAGCUCUUGGGUAUGGGACAGUAUAGUUCUUGACUCCAUAAUGCUGAAAUAUGUAUUGCUUUAUUAGGAAUUAUUUUCCUUUUAUUUCUCCUUUACAUUUGAGUUAGAGAAUUAUUCUCUUUUGAAAUUACACACAUAGGCAAGGUUAUAUAAUUUACAAAUUUCAUCUCAUAUUUAUAAUAGGAAAUACUGGGUCUGGCAAUGCUGACGCCUUUGCUUUGGAGGUCAAGCUGGCCCUCCUCUUUUCCUCAGACUCCAGGAUACUCAGAGGGCUGGAGGAAAUAACUGGCAUCCCUCCACCUUUCCCUUAGCCACUGUUCUUUGUAUCCUACCACACAAGAGCAUGCAUGUACUAUUCAAGGCAGGAAGCCCGACAAGUCCCUGGCCCAGCAGUGAGCCUCUGCUGGCUACAGGUUAUCUGGGCCUCUACCCAGCAGCAGCCUGUCAUCAGUCUCUUCAGUUUCCAGCCCUCCUGACAGGUGCCCUCUUCCUCGGCUCAGCUCUAUGGUCAGUGAUGAAAGCCACAGACUCUCUGCAGGCCCAUGGAGCUCAGGAAACUUCCAUUUUUUUUCCUCUGCACAUGUUUUGGAUUCAACACUUAUCAAGGAAGCCCUAGGCUGGGCCAGGAGUCCUGCUAAUCGCCUGCACAAAUGUUAUUUCUCAGGUUUAUUUAUGUAUCAAUGACGAUUCUGAGACUGAGAGGCGAUUACAUUUCCCCCAAGACCACACAGCUGUAAAGGAGAAGAGCCAACUUCAAAUCCAGGUCCUUCAACAACUUCUUAGCUUUGGAUAAAAAGGAAGGUGACAAUUUUAAAGGAUGUCUUUGGGUUCUUAAGACAAAAGCCCAAUGUAAACACCAGCUUUUUAAUCCAGUUCUUAAAACUUGCCAACCUAAAUUCAGGACUGAAUUUAUGCCUGUAUUUUCUGAAGAUGAGCAAAAUGUCACAUCAUUUUCAUUUUAUGGCCUGGAGAACUAAUUAGUUUUUCUGACGGAAUCAGGAUUUGGAGCUCCUGGAAAACAGGAAAUGUACAUGGAUGAAUUCUCCCAAUGCAGCAACUAGUACCACCCUGCGGGGAUGCAUUAAACACCUGUCAACUUCCCUCUGCAUCCUGCCCUCCUGGGGGAGCCUAGGACUGAUGGAGUCAUCUGUGUGAGGUCACUUGCUGAGCAACUAUUGAAAGGAUCCCACGGUUUCUCUAAUGGAGUCACAUUUAAGGGCUGGUGGAAUCAUCUGAAGGGAUGAAGGGACAGGAGGAACCAAAUGCCUGUGUGACAGCCCCAGUGCUUAUUCUCUUCUUACAACAUAAAGAAUGAAAACCUCACAUGACCUCAGCAAAAAGUAAAUUACAAAAUGAUGGCAACUGACAGAAAACAAUGAAAUGCUUUUCUUGAUAACUUCACACUGGCUGAUCUGAUCCACGUAACAUUACAUCAUUCACAGGGCAAUGUUCAGAUUGUGUUUAAGAGUGUCCUAAUUUUUUUUUUUUUUCUGGGAAAAAAAUACCCAGUGGCCACAGUGUCAUUAAAACCUUUAGAGUCAGUUUUAACAAAAACGUGUCAGUUGCCAACUUAAUCUCAGCUACUUUUGAUUCAUUUCCCAAAGGCUUGUAUACAGAAACUGCAGUAAGAAAAGAGAUGGGCUUCUUUGCUUUUCAUGCAUUU